UGUUGGCAUAAGUAGUACCAUG
rnacentral:miRNA from 1 species